rnacentral:lncRNA from 1 species
NNNNNNNNNNNNNNNNNNNNNNNNNNNNNNNNNNNNNNNNNNNNNNNNGCAGAGGUUCUGGAGGAGCCGGAGGCGAAGCCUAGCGGAGGCAUACUAGGUAUGAUCGAGCAGCUGAGUGCCAGUGGCAGAGUGGAGGCCGCACUGCUGCAGGAAGUUGAGCAGUGCUGGAGCGACGGGGAUGCUGAGAGUUUGCUGCAGAGCGUGAGAGUCCUUGCUCAGGUGCUACGAGACCUGCAUCCCCUCCAGGAAGGCCUCCAGCUGUCCUCUUCAGUUGAGGGUUUGUUUUCUUGCAGGCCCAGCAGGCUACACCGGGUCACUUCCUUCCAGGGUGUCUCUGCGCGGGUCAUCCGUAAAGCUCUGAGCAGCAUGGUUCCAUCCUCUGCGGACCAGGACGCAACUCUUCUUGCUAGACAGUACUUGGAGGUGUGCGUUCGUAUCGCACGUCUCCUCGAUGUAGUGCAGCCCAAACGAACCACCGUUGACUUUUCAAAUGCGCCCAUUGCUACGGUCAUUCAGCAUGUGCGGUUUGUCUUGUCAAAUCCUUCUUUUAACUCUGAUGUUUUUGACGCGGGAGUUCACCAUCGCUUGCUUUCAGUGUUGGAGUUCAAUCCUGCGCAGCUGGGCUUGGGCUCUCUCAUGCAGCUCCACCAGGAGACCCUCUCCGAAUUACAGGGCUACUUACAACUCGGCGAGCACCACAACUUCCAAUUUAUUCUCGAAUCGGUACGAAUUCUCGGUCCCGCAAAGCUGUUUUCCGUCAGCAGGGUUCACGGGCCUGUCGCCAUCGACAAUGGGGUGGAGGAGGUCCUUUGUUUUAUCAUGUCAGAACCCACUUCAUUCCUGGUACGACUGUACUGCCUUUGCUACGAAGAAGGAAGGGGGCUCUUCAAGGUGUGCGCACCACGCUGCGCAUGUAUGUAUCUGCUCAAAGCAGAAGGGCUGCGUGACAUGCAGUGGUGCGGUUGCAACGUUCUGGCUGAGGUAGGAGGGAAAGUGUGGGUCAGAGAGGGAGAAAGUAACGGCUGGGAUGAGCUACAGGCGCUGGCUCAGAGACACUCUGCUCAGCUUAAGGAUGAAGGAUGCUGCUUUAAGGUCGAGACCUCUGGGUUGGAGUGUGAGGUCAAAUUUAUAUACAGGAGUGGAAGGCUAUGGGCUGUGCCACAUA